UAAAGGAAAACGUGUGAGCAAAGCAACAACCCACAGUACUACCGCAUCCACCAAUACUCCCCAAGCUACACCCAACGUUUCAACAGUCCCAUGUUCUGCUAUAUUCAAGAAUUUGUUUGCUGCAACAAAUAGUCCCCGUACCAGUGGCAGUGGUCGUUGUCCAGCCCCCCCUUCUGCAGCAAAUAAGUCGGCAGGUGGGUUAAAUGUUACUCCCGGUUCUUUUGCUGCUGAUACUGAUGGAUUUGAUACCCCCCCGCUGCCUAUGUACAAUUCUAGACAACCAC